rnacentral:rRNA from 1 species
UACGGAGGAUCCAAGCGUUAUCCGGAAUCAUUGGGUUUAAAGGGUCCGUAGGCGGUCUAGUAAGUCAGUGGUGAAAGCCCAUCGCUCAACGGUGGAACGGCCAUUGAUACUGCUGGACUUGAAUUAUUGGGAAGCAACUAGAAUAUGUAGUGUAGCGGUGAAAUGCUUAGAGAUUACAUGGAAUACCAAUUGCGAAGGCAGGUCACUACCAAUGGAUUGACGCUGAUGGACGAAAGCGUGGGUAGCGAACAGG